GCAGUCGAACGGUAGAGGGGGCAACCCCUCGAGAGUGGCGAACGGCUGAGUAAUAUAUCGGAACGUGCCCAGUCGUGGGGGAUAACGUAGCGAAAGUUACGCUAAUACCGCAUACGAUCUACGGAUGAAAGCGGGGGAUCGCAAGACCUCGCGCGAUUGGAGCGGCCGAUAUCAGAUUAGGUAGUUGGUGGGGUAAAGGCUCACCAAGCCAACGAUCUGUAGCUGGUCUGAGAGGACGACCAACCACACUGGAACUGAGACACGGUCCAGACUCCUACGGGAGGCAGCAGUGGGGAAUUUUGGACAAUGGACGCAAGUCUGAUCCAGCCAUUCCGCGUGCAGGAUGAAGGCCCUCGGGUUGUAAACUGCUUUUGUACGGAACGAAAAGGUUUCUAUUAAUACUAGGAGCUCAUGACGGUACCGUAAGAAUAAGCACCGGCUAACUACGUGCCAGCAGCCGCGGUAAUACGUAGGGUGCAAGCGUUAAUCGGAAUUACUGGGCGUAAAGCGUGCGCAGGCGGUUAUGUAAGACAGAGGUGAAAUCCCCGGGCUCAACCUGGGAACUGCCUUUGUGACUGCAUAGCUAGAGUACGGUAGAGGGGGAUGGAAUUCCGCGUGUAGCAGUGAAAUGCGUAGAUAUGCGGAGGAACACCGAUGGCGAAGGCAAUCCCCUGGACCUGUACUGACGCUCAUGCACGAAAGCGUGGGGAGCAAACAGGAUUAGAUACCCUGGUAGUCCACGCCCUAAACGAUGUCAACUGGUUGUUGGGUCUUCACUGACUCAGUAACGAA
rnacentral:rRNA from 1 species